GUCGAGCGAACGGACGAGAAGCUUGCUUCUCUGAUGUUAGCGGCGGAGGGUGAGUAACACGUGGAUAACCUACCUAUAAGACUGGGAUAACUUCGGGAAACCGGAGCUAAUACCGGAUAAUAUUUUGAACCGCAUGGUUCAAAAGUGAAAGACGGUCUUGCUGUCACUUAUAGAUGGAUCCGCGCUGCAUUAGCUAGUUGGUAAGGUAACGGCUUACCAAGGCAACGAUGCAUAGCCGACCUGAGAGGGUGAUCGGCCACACUGGAACUGAGACACGGUCCAGACUCCUACGGGAGGCAGCAGUAGGGAAUCUUCCGCAAUGGGCGAAAGCCUGACGGAGCAACGCCGCGUGAGUGAUGAAGGUCUUCGGAUCGUAAAACUCUGUUAUUAGGGAAGAACAUAUGUGUAAGUAACUGUGCACAUCUUGACGGUACCUAAUCAGAAAGCCACGGCUAACUACGUGCCAGCAGCCGCGGUAAUACGUAGGUGGCAAGCGUUAUCCGGAAUUAUUGGGCGUAAAGCGCGCGUAGGCGGUUUUUUAAGUCUGAUGUGAAAGCCCACGGCUCAACCGUGGAGGGUCAUUGGAAACUGGAAAACUUGAGUGCAGAAGAGGAAAGUGGAAUUCCAUGUGUAGCGGUGAAAUGCGCAGAGAUAUGGAGGAACACCAGUGGCGAAAGGCGACUUUCUGGUCUGUAACUGACGCUGAUGUGCGAAAGCGUGGGGAUCAAACAGGAUUAGAUACCCUGGUAGUCCACGCCGUAAACGAUGAGUGCUAAGUGUUAGGGGGUUUCCGCCCCCUUAGUGCUGC
rnacentral:rRNA from 1 species